CCAGCUACACAUGCAGUCGAGCGGAUGAAGAGAGCUUGCUCUCUGAUUCAGCGGCGGACGGGUGAGUAAUGCCUAGGAAUCUGCCUGAUAGUGGGGGACAACGUUUCGAAAGGAACGCUAAUACCGCAUACGUCCUACGGGAGAAAGCAGGGGACCUUCGGGCCUUGCGCUAUCAGAUGAGCCUAGGUCGGAUUAGCUAGUUGGUGAGGUAACGGCUCACCAAGGCGACGAUCCGUAACUGGUCUGAGAGGAUGAUCAGUCACACUGGAACUGAGACACGGUCCAGACUCCUACGGGAGGCAGCAGUGGGGAAUAUUGGACAAUGGGCGAAAGCCUGAUCCAGCCAUGCCGCGUGUGUGAAGAAGGUCUUCGGAUUGUAAAGCACUUUAAGUUGGGAGGAAGGGCAUUAACCUAAUACGUUAGUGUUUUGACGUUACCGACAGAAUAAGCACCGGCUAACUUCGUGCCAGCAGCCGCGGUAAUACGAAGGGUGCAAGCGUUAAUCGGAAUUACUGGGCGUAAAGCGCGCGUAGGUGGUUUGUUAAGUUGAAUGUGAAAGCCCCGGGCUCAACCUGGGAACUGCAUCCAAAACUGGCAAGCUAGAGUAUGGCAGAGGGUGGUGGAAUUUCCUGUGUAGCGGUGAAAUGCGUAGAUAUAGGAAGGAACACCAGUGGCGAAGGCGACCACCUGGGCUAAUACUGACACUGAGGUGCGAAAGCGUGGGGAGCAAACAGGAUUAGAUACCCUGGUAGUCCACGCCGUAAACGAUGUCGACUAGCCCGUUGGGAUCCUUGAGAUCUUUAUGGCGCAGCUAACGCAUUAAGUCGACCGGCCUGGGGAGUACGGCCGCAAGGGUUAAAACUCAAAUGAAUUGAACGGGGGCCCGCACAAGCGAUGAACAUGUGGUUUAAUUCCAAGCACACGGAGAACCUUACCAGCCUGACAUGCAAGAACUUUCCAGAGAUGGAUUGUGCCUUCGGAACUCUGACACA
rnacentral:rRNA from 2 species